rnacentral:rRNA from 1 species
AAUAGAUACCCGGGUAGUCCACGCCGUAAACGAUGAAUGCUAGGUGUUAGGGGUUUCGAUACCCUUGGUGCCGAAGUCAACACAUUAAGCAUUCCGCCUGGGGAGUACGGUCGCAAGACUGAAACUCAAAGGAAUCGACGGGGACCCGCACAAGCAGUGGAGUAUGUGGUUUAAUUCGAAGCAACGCGAAGAACCUUACCAGGUCUUGACAUCCCGAUGAAAAUCUCAGAGAUGAGACCCCUCUUCGGAGCAUUGGAGACAGGUGGUGCAUGGUUGUCGUCAGCUCGUGUCGUGAGAUGUUGGGUUAAGUCCCGCAACGAGCGCAACCCUUGAUCUUAGUUGCCAGCAGGUAAGGCUGGGCACUCUAAGAUGACUGCCGGUGACAAACCGGAGGAAGGUGGGGAUGACGUCAAAUCAUCAUGCCCCUUAUGACCUGGGCUACACACGUACUACAAUGGCCGGUACAACGGGAAGCGAAGCCGCGAGGUGGAGCGAAUCCAAUAAAAGCCGGUCUCAGUUCGGAUUGCAGG